AGGGUGGUGGCCUGGUGCUCGUGGGUGGGGCAUGUUUCGUUUAUAUGUACCCUAUUUGCGUGUGUACUGUGGAAAAAAUUUAAAAUUUUUGGUCAAAACUUGUGGGUUUGACUGGAUGGCGGCUGACACUGAGAUAUUAUUCUUUUUUCUAUUUCUUGUGGAGGUAGCCUUGCUUUUGCCUUUCUGGUUUCUGCCUUUUAGGCAGCUGCCAUGCCAUUUGUGCAUGUAUUAGGCUGUUAAACAUCUGUUAAUUUCUGUUGUAUUUGGAAGAUGGUGCCUGAUGGUGUUGGCUCUUUUCUGUUACAUUCAUUAGAGGUGAAAAGAUUACAGAUAAGCUGAGUGCUUCAUAUAACUGGGUUAAGCUUCUUCAUCAAGAAUGGCCUCCAAUGCUGGUGCAUCGGAUUCUUCGGUCAGUAAGUAAAUUCAACUUUUAAGUUCCUCCUCUUGGAGCUCCUCAAGUGUAUGUUUUCUUUAAACCUUUUUCUCUUUUGAAUUUGAAACUUAACAAAAACUGGUUACUAUUGCUGUUGAUUUUUGGAAAUCUACUAUGAAAUGUGUUGAGUGUAUUUGUUCUUGGAAGAUCUUGACAGUGUCUUUGAACUGACUCUGCCUGUAACUCUAUUUGGGGCAUUGAGCAUAAUUGUUAGGUGAAUGUAGAACCAUUAUAGCAAAAUUGUAGCACUGUCUAGAUUUUAAUGAGGCUAUAUUUAAUUAGUUAUAGUCAGAUAUGGCUGGGAAUUCAAAGUAGGGCUCCAAUCUCAAUUCCAUUGCUUCAA